rnacentral:rRNA from 1 species
UACGAAGGGGGCUAGCGUUGUUCGGAAUUACUGGGCGUAAAGCGCGCGCAGGCGGUCUUCCAAGUCAGAUGUGAAAGCCCCGGGCUUAACCUGGGAACUGCGUUUGAAACUGGGAGACUUGAGUGUGGCAGAGGGGGGUGGAAUUCCACGUGUAGCAGUGAAAUGCGUAGAUAUGUGGAGGAACACCGAUGGCGAAGGCAGCCCCCUGGGUUAACACUGACGCUCAUGCACGAAAGCGUGGGGAGCAAACAGG